rnacentral:rRNA from 1 species
GAGUUUGAUCAUGGCUCAGAUUGAACGCUGGCGGAAUGCUUUACACAUGCAAGUCGAGCGGCAGCGCGGGGCAACCUGGCGGCGAGCGGCGAACGGGUGAGUAAUGCAUCGGAACAUGUCCAUGUCGUGGGGGAUAGCCCGGCGAAAGCCGGAUUAAUACCGCAUACGCCCGAGAGGGGAAAGUGGGGGACCGCAAGGCCUCACGCGAUUGGGUUGGCCGAUGUCCGAUUAGCUAGUUGGCGGGGUAAGAGCCCACCAAGGCGAUGAUCGGUAGCUGGUCUGAGAGGAUGAUCAGCCACACUGGGACUGAGACACGGCCCAGACUCCUACGGGAGGCAGCAGUGGGGAAUUUUGGACAAUGGGGGAAACCCUGAUCCAGCCAUUCCGCGUGAGUGAAGAAGGCCUUCGGUUGUAAG